GACGAACGCUGGCGGCGUGCUUAACACAUGCAAGUCGAACGAAAAGAGGGAAAGAGCUUGCUCUUUCCGGAAUUGAGUGGCAAACGGGUGAGUAACACGUAAACAACCUGCCUUCAGGAUGGGGACAACAGACGGAAACGACUGCUAAUACCGAAUAAGUUCCAAGGGCCGCAUGGCCCAUGGAAGAAAAGGUGGCCUCUACCUGUAAGCUAUCGCCUGAAGAGGGGUUUGCGUCUGAUUAGCUGGUUGGAGGGGUAACGGCCCACCAAGGCGACGAUCAGUAGCAGGUCUGAGAGGAUGAACGGCCACACUGGAAUUGAGACACGGUCCAGACUCCUACGGGAGGCAGCAGUGGGGAAUCUUCCGCAAUGGGCGAAAGCCUGACGGAGCAACGCCGCGUGAGUGAUGACGGCCUUCGGGUUGUAAAACUCUGUGAUCCGGGACGAAAAGGCAGAGUGCGAAGAACAAACUGCAUUGACGGUACCGGAAAAGCAAGCCACGGCUAACUACGUG
rnacentral:rRNA from 1 species